GCCUGGGUGGCUCAGUCGGUUAAGCGUCUGACUUCGGCUCAGGUCAUGAUCUCGCGGUUUGUGAGUUCGAGCCCCACGUCGGGCU
rnacentral:tRNA from 1 species